rnacentral:rRNA from 1 species
UACGAGGGGGGCAAGCGUUGUUCGGAAUUAUUGGGCGUAAAGGGCGCGUAGGCGGUGCGGUAAGUCACCUGUGAAACCUCUAGGCUUAACCUAGAGCCUGCAGGCGAAACUGCCGUGCUUGAGGGUGGGAGAGGUGCGUGGAAUUCCCGGUGUAGCGGUGAAAUGCGCAGAUAUCAGGAGGAACACCGAUGGCGAAGGCAGCUCGCUGGGACGGUACUGACGCUGAGGCGCGAAAGCGUGGGGAGCAAACAGG